UCACGUUUUAAUAUCAAUAUUAACACAAUGUGUAGUCUAAAACUAGUUCCUUUGUAGUUUGCAUGGGAUGUGAAUGCUGUCUCAACGUGCCCAGAUCUAGACAAGACUGCAUGAGCACCAAUUCAGAUGUGAAAACCAAUCUCUCUCUCUCUUUUCCUCUCUCUCUUCCACAUAUAUCUCUAUUUCUCUUGUGAUAAUUUGGUGGGCAGUAAAGCACCUCCGGUUGGUUGCUGUAGUGUGUUGAAUGAUUGUUUUUUUAUUCUAUUUUCGGAGCUCCGAGCUUCUUAGUCGUAGCCUGGGCUGAGUAUUCUUGAGUCCCUGCUGAUGUUUUCGCAUGGCCUUGGUUGAGUGUUAGAAGUUGGGCCUCAGCUGUUUUUCUCGAGUGUUUGGCUUGUAAUGACCGGUGCAUGCCUGGCUUCUGGCCUCAUACCCAGCUCUAUUCUCUGCACACCAGUCCUGAAUAGCUACAGUGCUCAACCGAAUUUUGGCGCGCCCGCUUCCCCGGCAGGCUCCAACCCCGCGCGGCCCGGAGGCUUCCCGGGGGCCAACAGCCCAGGACCUGUCGCCGAUCUGUACGGCCCUGCCAGCCAGGACUCCGGAGUGGGGAAUUACAUAAGUGCGGCCAGCCCACAGCCGGGCUCAGGCUUCGGCCACGGCAUAGCUGGACCUUUGAUUGCAACGGCCUUUACAAAUGGAUACCAUUGAGCAGGUGCUUCUGUUGCCACCCCACUCUGAGAGCAUACCUGGAUGUCCAGGCAAGACUGGGCGAAGUUUCUGAGUGGCCCUUUGUUUAGGUGAUGUCAUCAGACCUGGACCCCCACCAGCCUCACUCCCCAUCCCAACCAGAGAUGGCUCACUUCGGAUCGAGGGUUGACUACAUCUCAUCAUCUCACGAAUCUGCUGUAAUAUAAGACAACAGCUUUUAAAUGUGUAUAUAACCCAUGAUUUUUGGUUUGGUUUUGUUUUGUUUUUCUUGAUGGUUUCCCUUCCUCUUCUCUCUUCCCCCCCUUCUCCUUUUAAAUCUCUUUGAAUCACAUUUGGUAGUGAUUUUGACUUAGUCCGGUAGUCAUAUAGCUUUAAUAUCUAGUUAAAAGCUAACCAUAGUAUAAUUGUUAUAUUAAGGUAUUAUUUUUCUCUUAAAAAGAUUUUUUUUUUGCUUGUUUUGAUUCUGUUCUCACUUUUAAAGGAUGCUGAGAUGGUAAUAUUCCUCAAUAUUUUGGUACCAAUUCUGAGACUGUAUGGCUUUUCCAGUGGAGCACAUUGUGCGUCUGUGGAAGCAAAGUUGUGAAGUGUGGAGCGGGAGGUGGGCAUAAACUUUCUCCUUUGCGUCGUAUAAGUGAGAUGUAGUAAGCUAAUUAACAGACUCUAUAGCGGUUCUUUUUUGUGACGUCUCUUUGUUAAUCUAAGUAUAUCUAUUUUCGGCAAUAAGGUAAGGACGACCAUGUUUUGAGUGUCCUCCUUUUCUAUAAGUGCUUUUUUUCUGUUGAAAGAGGUGAUAUUAUAAGGUUUUUUGAAAUUGUGAAUUCUAAAAAAAAAAGAAGCGUUGUAAAUACAAUUCCAUUAACUACAUAGAAACUAUUAAGAAAGAGAGAAUCAAAAAUAUUUUUGUGAGGGAGUCGGUCCCAGGCAGUUCGAUGCUCUGUGGAAGGAGGAGGAGGGGAAGGCAUGAUAACCAAGUCGGUUCCCAGGCGGAAGGACACCCCCCCCCGCCCCCGCUGCCAGGACGACCCCCCGGGAAAAGUUAGAACACUGUUUAGCUCCUUCUGUCUGUGUGAUAGACCUAAGAACUGUAUUAGCGUCAUACCAGCAUAUUAACCUCUCGUCUGUGCACAGCUUCAAAUGUUACCGUCUAGUUAGAUUUUUAUUUAAAAUAUGAAAAACUGCUUUUCCCAAGACGUUUUUUAAAAACAAAGCUACGAUUUUAAUAUUUAACAUAUUUAAAGUUUCAAAGCACACCUGUUUGGCUUGGGUGGGGAGGGGGUGGGGGGACAUUCUUUUUCAGUCUUAAUUUUUGAAUAUUUGAUCAUUUUCUAUUGUCCAACCAUUUCAGCACCUCCAAAGGUCCCUAGGACACUCUGCCUCUCUUUGCUCCCCUGCUCCCCCACCGGCUCCCCCCAGCUCCGGCCAGGGGCGGAGAAGCCUGCAUUAAUGAAAACUUUUCUCCAUUCACUUCCUAUUUACAAAUUAGGAGAGCAACCUUUUGGUUUAUAUAUUUUUUUUAAUACCUCAGUGCUGCAAGUAUCACCAGAGAGGCUAUGGAAGAAUUUUUUUUUUUAAUUUAUUGUAGAUGUAAACAGAAUUUUAAAAAUAAAAAAAGUAUAAACAUCGCUGCACUGUGACUGGUGGGAAAAACUGACAGUUUCCUGUUUGCACAUGUUUAACAUUUGGCUGUUAUAAUAUAUGGUCCUCAGUUGGGGAAAGAUACUUAUGAUGAAGGAUAUUUUUUAAUUUAACUUUUUUUUAAUAUUGGUAAUAGGUCGGCAACAGCAACUAUAGAAGUACAACUCAAUAGAUGGCAUUAAAACAUAUUGUAGUGUGGAUAUA